rnacentral:rRNA from 1 species
UACGUAGGGUGCAAGCGUUGUCCGGAAUUAUUGGGCGUAAAGAGCUCGUAGGCGGUUUGUCGCGUCUGCUGUGAAAACUCGGGGCUUAACCCCGGGCCUGCAGUGGGUACGGGCAGACUAGAGUGCGGUAGGGGAGACUGGAAUUCCUGGUGUAGCGGUGAAAUGCGUAGAGAUCCGGAAGAACACCGGUGGCGAAGGCGGCCCGCUGGGCAGUGACUGACGCUGAGGCGCGACAGCGUGGGGAGCGAACAGG